UACGUAGGGAGCAAGCGUUGUCCGGAAUCAUUGGGCGUAAAGCGCGCGUAGGUGGCCAUGUAAGUCCGCUGUGAAAGUCAAAGGCUCAACCUUUGAAAGCCGGUGGAUACUGCACGGCUAGAGUACGGAAGAGGCGAGUGGAAUUCCUGGUGUAGCGGUGGAAUGCGCAGAUAUCAGGAGGAACACCAAUAGCGAAGGCAGCUCGCUGGGACGUUACUGACACUGAGGCGCGAAAGCGUGGGGAGCAACAGGAUUAGAACCGUACCGUCGAG
rnacentral:rRNA from 1 species